rnacentral:rRNA from 1 species
GUCGAGGAUCAUUUGCAAUGGGCGCAAGCCUGACAGUGCGACGCUGCGUGGACGAUGAAGGCCUUCGGGUUGUAAAGUCCUGUCAUUCGGGAACAAGAGGCUGUGUGUUAACACCGCACGGCAUUGAUAGUACCGGAAGAGGAAGCCACGGCUAACUCUGUGCCAGCAGCCGCGGUAAUACAGAGGUGGCGAGCGUUGUUCGGAUUUACUGGGCGUAAAGGGCGCGUAGGUGGCCCCGCAUGUCGGACGUGAAAUCCCACCGCCUAACGGUGGAACGGCAUCCGAAACUGUGGGGAUAGAGUGCAGGAGAGGAGAGCGGAAUUCUUGGUGUAGCGGUGAAAUGCGUUGAUAUCAAGAGGAACACCGGCUGCGAAGGCGGCUCUCUGGAAUGCUACUGACACUGAGGCACGAAAGCUGGGGGAGCAAACAGGAUUAGAAACCCGUGUAGUCC